ACACACACACAUCACACACAGACACAUCACACACACAUCACACACACACAUCAGACACACAUCACACACAAACACACACACAUAUCACCCACACACACACAUACAUACACAUCACACACGCAAAUACAUCACUAAAAUCACGCACACAUCACACACACAACACACACACAUCACACACACACAUCACACACACACACACACACACACACAUCACCCACCUGACACACGCAUCUCAC
rnacentral:lncRNA from 1 species